rnacentral:rRNA from 1 species
CGUAAAGAGCUUGUAGGUGGCUUGUCGCGUCUGCCGUGAAAACCCGAGGCUCAACCUCGGGCGUGCGGUGGGUACGGGCAGGCUAGAGUGUGGUAGGGGAGACUGGAACUCCUGGUGUAGCGGUGAAAUGCGCAGAUAUCAGGAAGAACACCGAUGGCGAAGGCAGGUCUCUGGGCCAUUACUGACACUGAGAAGCGAAAGCAUGGGGAGCGAACAGGAUUAGAUACCCUGGUAGUCCAUGCCGUAAACGUUGGGCACUAGAUGUGGGGAACAUUCCACGUUUUCCGCGUCGUAGCUAACGCAUUAAGUGCCCCGCCUGGGGAGUACGGCCGCAAGGCUAAAACUCAAAGGAAUUGACGGGGGCCCGCACAAGCGGCGGAGCAUGCGGAUUAAUUCGAUGCAACGCGAAGAACCUUACCAAGGCUUGACAUGCACCGGACGACUCCAGAGAUGGGGUUUUCUUCGGACUGGUGCACAGGUGGUGCAUGGUUGUCGUCAGCUCGUGUCGUGAGAUGUUGGGUUAAGUCCCGCAACGAGCCGCAAAACA